UUCCAAGGUGAUCCCCUCUCCAAGGGGCUAACUAGUGACCCCCAACAAGCAGAAACAUAGCAACUUGGGGUAAAUCCGGCAUGCCCGAGGUCUGUGGGGGUAAGGGGAUGUUUCCUUUUGAUCUCUGCCUACAUAU